AUGCAAGUCGAACGCUUCUUUUUCCACCGGAGCUUGCUCCACCGGAAAAAGAGGAGUGGCGAACGGGUGAGUAACACGUGGGUAACCUGCCCAUCAGAAGGGGAUAACACUUGGAAACAGGUGCUAAUACCGUAUAACAAUCGAAACCGCAUGGUUUUGAUUUGAAAGGCGCUUUCGGGUGUCGCUGAUGGAUGGACCCGCGGUGCAUUAGCUAGUUGGUGAGGUAACGGCUCACCAAGGCCACGAUGCAUAGCCGACCUGAGAGGGUGAUCGGCCACAUUGGGACUGAGACACGGCCCAAACUCCUACGGGAGGCAGCAGUAGGGAAUCUUCGGCAAUGGACGAAAGUCUGACCGAGCAACGCCGCGUGAGUGAAGAAGGUUUUCGGAUCGUAAAACUCUGUUGUUAGAGAAGAACAAGGAUGAGAGUAACUGUUCAUCCCUUGACGGUAUCUAACCAGAAAGCCACGGCUAACUACGUGCCAGCAGCCGCGGUAAUACGUAGGUGGCAAGCGUUGUCCGGAUUUAUUGGGCGUAAAGCGAGCGCAGGCGGUUUCUUAAGUCUGAUGUGAAAGCCCCCGGCUCAACCGGGGAGGGUCAUUGGAAACUGGGAGACUUGAGUGCAGAAGAGGAGAGUGGAAUUCCAUGUGUAGCGGUGAAAUGCGUAGAUAUAUGGAGGAACACCAGUGGCGAAGGCGGCUCUCUGGUCUGUAACUGACGCUGAGGCUCGAAAGCGUGGGGAGCAAACAGGAUUAGAUACCCUGGUAGUCCACGCCGUAAACGAUGAGUGCUAAGUGUUGGAGGGUUUCCGCCUUCAGUGCUGCAGCUAACGCAUUAAGCACUCCGCCUGGGGAGUACGACCGCAAGGUUGAAACUCAAAGGAAUUGACGGGGGCCCGCACAAGCGGUGGAGCAUGUGGUUUAAUUCGAAGCAACGCGAAGAACCUUACCAGGUCUUGACAUCCUUUGACCACUCUAGAGAUAGAGCUUCCCCUUCGGGGGCAAAGUGACAGGUGGUGCAUGGUUGUCGUCAGCUCGUGUCGUGAGAUGUUGGGUUAAGUCCCGCAACGAGCGCAACCCUUAUUGUUAGUUGCCAUCAUUCAGUUGGGCACUCUAGCAAGACUGCCGGUGACAAACCGGAGGAAGGUGGGGAUGACGUCAAAUCAUCAUGCCCCUUAUGACCUGGGCUACACACGUGCUACAAUGGGAAGUACAACGAGUCGCGAAGUCGCGAGGCUAAGCUAAUCUCUUAAAGCUUCUCUCAGUUCGGAUUGCAGGCUGCAACUCGCCUGCAUGAAGCCGGAAUCGCUAGUAAUCGCGGAUCAGCACGCCGCGGUGAAUACGUUCCCGGGCCUUGUACACACCGCCCGUCACACCACGAGAGUUUGUAACACCCGAAGUCGGUGAGGUAACCUUUUGGAGCCAGCCGCCUAAGGUGGGAUAGAUGAUUGGGGUGAAGU
rnacentral:rRNA from 1 species